rnacentral:rRNA from 1 species
UAUGUGAUCGUCUCUCGCAUAUCAAUAAGCGGAGGAAAAGAAACUAACAAGGAUUCCCCUAGUAACGGCGAGUGAAGCGGGAAGAGCUCAAAUUUGAAAUCUCAAAGGGUUUCCCUUUACGAAUUGUAGUUUAAAGAAGUGUUUUCUGUUGAGGUUUUGGUAAAAGUUCUUUGGAAUAGGACAUCAUAGAGGGUGAGAAUCCCGUAUUUGACCUUUACUUUCAACUUUGUGAUACACUUUCAAAGAGUCGGAUUGUUUGGGAAUGCAGUCCAAAAUGGGUGGUAAAUUUCAGUCUAAAGCUAAAUAUUGGCGAGAGACCGAUAGCGAACAAGUACCGUGAGGGAAAGAUGAAAAGGACUUUGAAAAGAGAGUUAAACAGUACGUGAAAUUGUCAAAAGGGAAGCGUUUGACACCAGUGUUGUUUUUCUGAAAAUCAAUUAAAGAACUGUUUAUGCUAAGUUGUUUAGACUUUAUCAGCUAUCUGUUUAGUUUUGAGCUUUUCUUUAAUGCACUUUUCAGUUAACAAGUCAACAUCAAUUUCUUUUGCUGUAAAAAAGCUUGAGGAAGGUGGCUUGAGAUUCGUCUUAAGUGUUUAUAGCCUCUUGCCUAUGCAGUCGGAGAGAUUGAGGUCUGCAGCGUAGAUCCUUCGGGGCUAAAUGCAUUUGUGCUAAGUUAUAGCAUUUUAUAGACAACUUAUUGACUAUGAUUUGUCUUGUAGCUUACUCGCUUAUGUUAUUUUACCUACGCUUAGGAUGUUGAUCUGUAGUGCGUGCGC